rnacentral:rRNA from 1 species
GAAACCGCGAAUGGCUCAUUAAAUCAGUUAUGGUUUACCCGACAGUGCCAGUACAUGGACAACUGUGGUAAUUCUAGAGCUAAUACAUGCAGAAAGCUCCGAGCCCGUUCGCGCGGGCGACGAGCGCAGUUAUUAGAUCAAAAACCAAUCGGCCGGCGGCUCGCGCCGUCGGCCGCCCGGUUUGGUGACUCUGAGUAACCACAGCGAAUCGCACGGUCUCGCACCGGCGGUCUGUCGGUCAAGCAACUGCCUUAUCAGCUUGUCGUUAGGUUAUACGCCUAACGAGGCGUCGACGGGUAACGAACGAUCGGGGUCUGACAUCGGAGAGGGAGCCUGAGAAACGGCUGCCACAUCCAAGGAAGGCAGCAGGCGCGCAAAUUACCCACUCCCGGCACGGGGAGGUAGUGACGAGAAAUAACGAUGCGAGGCUCCAUCGAGCCUUCGUAAUCGGAAUGAGUACACUUUAAAUCCUUUAACGAGUAACUAUUGGAGGGCAAGUCUGGUGCCAGCAGCCGCGGUAAUUCCAGCUCCAAUAGCGUAUAUUAAUGCUGCUGCGGUUAAAAAGCUCGUAGUUGGAUCUGGGUCGCCGGCGGGCGCUCCGCGUCUCAUUGUGGACGCGGUCUUGCGCUGAAGGCGUCGUGUGCGCGCGCGCUCUGCGUUGCGCGCGCGCGGCGUGGCCGACGCGGCACUUCCGCACUCGUGUGCGGGUGUCGCGGCCGGUCGCCGGCACCACCGGCCGGACCGCGCGGCAUGCUCUUCGCUGAGUGUGCUGCGCGUUCGGUGCGUUUACUUUGAAAAAAUUAGAGUGCUCAAAGCAGGCGUACAGUUGUGUGUGCGCGCUCGUUUGCACUCGCGUUCGUGCGUGCCGCUUCGGCGUGCCGCGCGGCGCGAUGCCGGCGUGCAACCGUCUGAAUAAUGGUGCAUGGAAUAAUGGAAUAGGACCUCGGUUCUAUUUUGUUGGUUUCUGGAGCUCGAGGUAAUGGUUAAGAGGGACAGACGGGGGCAUCCGUAUCCUGCCGUUAGAGGUGAAAUUCUAGGAUCGGCAGGCGACGAACCAAGGCGAAAGCAUUUGCCAAGAAUGUUUUCAUUAAUCACAGAACGAAAGUCAGAGGUUCGAAGGCGAUCAGAUACCGCCCUAGUUCUGACCAUAAACGAUGCCAACCAGCGAUCCGCCGCUCGUCUCACUUCGUUAACGACUCGGCGGGCAGCUUCCGGGAAACCAAAGUUUUCGGGUUCCGGGGGAAGUAUGGUUGCAAAGCUGAAACUUAAAGGAAUUGACGGAAGGGCACCACCAGGAGUGGAGCCUGCGGCUUAAUUCGACUCAACACGGGGAAACUCACCCGGCCCGGACACCGUAAGGAUUGACAGAUUGAGAGCUCUUUCUUGAUUCGGUGGGUGGUGGUGCAUGGCCGUUCCUUAG